GUUUUAGGACCUUCCGCAAGAAUGCCCAAGCAGUCAGCGGCACUACGGGCAGCAGUACGCGUCCCUCCUAGACCUUAGCCUUGUCCCUAUUUUGCCCCUGCGUCGGCGCCUCAGGCUAGGGAUUAUAGUGAGAUCAAGGUUGAAGGGGGAGCAUGUGAAGAUGAAUGGUGGAGGUUGGGAUUUGGCGUUAGGAAACUGCUGCUCGAGGCCUUGGAAAGAAGCUCAGUGAUCCAGCGAUCGGCUGUGACCGGGGAUUUACGGAGUGUAGCAGUUAGAAACUAGCUACCGUCGAUGGUUUUACUCAGGCCCACAGCACCUGGUUUUGGAAUUUUAAAACAUGCUUUCGUGACCCUUGCGUGGAAAAGAAGAAUUAGGCCAAGAUUAUAGCUGAGAUCAUAGAAGAAAAAAAACAUAUGCUCUUGAACCAUGUCAUUAUUGGCCGGUUAACCUCUGUACGAAACCAUAUAAAAUUAUAGUUAAGAUUUUAGUCAAUAGAAUGCAAUCUAUUUUAAAUGAUUUAGUCAGGUUAGCGCAGGAGGCUUUUGUAAGAGGUCGAGAUAUCUCUGAUGAUGUAUGGAUCUAAUAAGAGCUCCAAAAAUCAGAAAUCCCAUGGCUAUUAAGGUGA
rnacentral:lncRNA from 1 species